AGAGUUUGAUCCUGGCUCAGGAUGAACGCUAGCGGCAGGCCUAAUACAUGCAAGUCGAACGGUAAAUAUUUAGCAAUAAAUAUGAGAGUGACGUACGGGUGCGUAACACGUAUGCAACCUACCCUUUACAGGCGGAUAGCUCGGGGAAACUCGAAUUAACCCGCCGUAAUAUAAUUGGAUGGCAUCAUCUGGUUAUUAAAUCUACGGAGGUAAAGGAUGGGCAUGCGUCUGAUUAGUUAGUUGGCGGGGUAACGGCCCACCAAGACGAUGAUCAGUAGGGGAACUGAGAGGUUGAUCCCCCACACUGGCACUGAGAUACGGGCCAGACUCCUACGGGAGGCAGCAGUAGGGAAUAUUGGUCAAUGGAUGGAAGUCUGAACCAGCCAUGCCGCGUGCAGGAAGAAGGCCUUCUGGGUUGUAAACUGCUUUUGCCAGGGGAUAGAAUGACCUUGCGAGGUUAAUUGAAGGUACCUGGUGAAUAAGCCACGGCUAACUACGUGCCAGCAGCCGCGGUAAUACGUAGGUGGCAAGCGUUGUCCGGAUUUAUUGGGUUUAAAGGGUGCGUAGGCGGCUUAUUAAGUCAGUGGUGAAAUACUCUAGCUCAACUAGAGGGGUGCCAUUGAUACUGAUGAGCUUGAGUACAGAUGAGGUAGGCGGAAUUGACGGUGUAGCGGUGAAAUGCUUAGAUAUCGUCAAGAACACCUAUAGCGAAGGCAGCUUACUAGGCUGUAACUGACGCUGAGGCACGAAAGUGUGGGGAUCAAACAGGGUUAGAUACCCUGGUAGUCCACACUGUAAACGUUGAUUACUCGCUGUGUGCGAUAUACAGUACGCGGCCAAGCGAAAGCGAUAAGCAAUCCACCUGGGGAGUACGCCGGCAACGGUGAAACUCAAAGGAAUUGACGGGGGUCCGCACAAGCGUGGAGCAUGUGGUUUAAUUCGAUGAUACGCCAGGAACCUUACCUGGACUAGAAUGCCCUUGACCGAUCCAGAGAUGGAUUUUUCCGCAAGGACAAGGAGCAAGGUGCUGCAUGGCCGUCGUCAGCUCGUGCCGUGAGGUGUUGGGUUAAGUCCCGCAACGAGCGCAACCCCUAUUUUUAGUUGCCAACAGGUUAAGCUGGGGACUCUAAAAAGACUGCCCGCGCAAGCGGAGAGGAAGGAGGGGACGACGUCAGGUCAUCAUGGCCCUUACGUCCAGGGCUACACACGUGCUACAAUGGCGUAUACAGAGUGUUGCAAACCAGCGAUGGUAAGCCAAUCACAAAAAGUACGUCUCAGUUCGGAUUGCAGGCUGCG
rnacentral:rRNA from 1 species